GUGUAUAUAAGAAAAGCUCCACGUUCAGAGCAACACCACAACAACCUCCCUGAUCAUCUGUGAGACAGUCUGCUGAAGCUAAGACCUGACGGUGUGAUCACUGAAACCAUGCUGAAGGUAGCACUUGUUCUUGGAUGCCUCCUGAGCCUCGCUCUGGCCAGUCCUAUGGAUGGAGGACACAAACGAUUUGCCCGCUCAAGCGCUGGUUCUGAUUCUGGUUCCAAUUCUGAUGAGACUACCACCACUGCUACUACUACUACCACUACAACUGCUACUACAACUACUGCUGCAGGUGCCACUACGACUACUGCUGCUCCCGCCUUGUCUGCACAACAACUCAUCCAGCUUCUUAUUGCCCUCUUGCAGGGAUCAUAAUCUCUAGUUAUGGAGCACUUUUCACAGUCCAAGUUCCAAGUCAUAAAAUCAUCAGGUUGAAAAACAACACAAUUCAGUGGAUGAAAACCAAAAGGAAAAGGUUGGAAAAGUUAGCAAUAUUUUUCAGAGAAGUUAACUAAACUAAAUCUCACGUAAAAUCAGGAGAGUGUGCUUUCAGAAGUAAACAGUAAGAUCUUAAAAUGUGUCCUUAAACACAUUUUCCUGUUUCCUACUGCUGCUACAACUACUACAGCAGCAACGACUACAACAGCUGCUCCAUUCUAAUAUCUGAAAUGUAACCAGGAACCAAGAAGUGAAUGAAAACCAGUUUGAAGUGGAUUGUCAGUGUCAGCUCUAUUUCCUGUUGGUUUAAAUGUUUCUUGAGAUUUUUUUUCUGAUUUUCUGCUCUCCACUUUAAAUCAUGUUUUUCACCUGACCACACUGCUAAAUAAAGUUCAUAAACGUAAAAUAUAUGGACUCUGUUCUGUUUGUGUGCUAAUAUUCAUAUCAUGCAUGUAACACUUCACCUGAAGUCUGCCUACU